ACCCUUAUAGUACAGUGGCAGUAUGCUUUACUCUUAUGAAUCAGGCAACUUAUAUAUAGUCCAUACAGCAAGUUAUCUAGUUUAGUAUCAAAGAGGUCAGGGGUUCAAUUCCUCCUAAGGGCA